GUGAACGCUGGCGGCGUGGAUUAGGCAUGCAAGUCGAGCGAUCUCCGCAAGGGGAUAGCGGCAAACGGGUUAGUAACACGUGAGGAAUUUGCCUCGAAGUCGAACACAGCUCCGUGAAAACGGAGGUAUUAUUCGAUGGUGUCCUGUCAUCGCAUGGUGACAGGAUUAAAGAUGGGGACCGCAAGGCCUAUCACUUCGGGAUGACCUCGCGUCCUAUCAGCUAGUUGGUGGGGUAAUGGCCUACCAAGGCUUUUGACGGGUAGCUGGUCUGAGAGGACGAUCAGCAACACUGGGACUGAGACACUGCCCAGACUCCUACGGGAGGCUGCAGUCGAGAAUCUUUAGCAAUGGGCGAAAGCCUGACUAUGCGACGCCGCGUGCAGGAUGAAGGUUUUCGGAUUGUAAACUGCUUUUGUCAGGAAAAUGACGGUAGCAUAUGAAUAAGCACCGGCUAACUCCGU
rnacentral:rRNA from 1 species